UACGUAGGGGGCAAGCGUUAUCCGGAUUUACUGGGUGUAAAGGGAGCGUAGACGGCUUAGCAAGUCUGAAGUGAAAGCCCGGGGCUCAACCCCGGGACUGCUUUGGAGACUGUUAAGCUGGAGUGCUGGAGAGGUAAGCGGAAUUCCUAGUGUAGCGGUGAAAUGCGUAGAUAUUAGGAGGAACACCAGUGGCGAAGGCGGCUUACUGGACAGUAACUGACGUUGAGGCUCGAAAGCGUGGGGAGCAAACAGG
rnacentral:rRNA from 1 species